rnacentral:rRNA from 1 species
CCUACGGGUGGCAGCAGUGGGGAAUAUUGGACAAUGGGCGAAAGCCUGAUCCAGCCAUGCCGCGUGUGUGAAGAAGGCCUUCGGGUUGUAAAGCACUUUCAGUGGGGAAGAAAGCCUUGGGGCUAAUACCCUCGAGGAAGGACAUUACCCACAGAAGAAGCACCGGCUAACUCCGUGCCAGCAGCCGCGGUAAUACGGAGGGUGCGAGCGUUAAUCGGAAUUACUGGGCGUAAAGCGCGCGUAGGCGGUCUGAUAAGCCGGUUGUGAAAGCCCCGGGCUCAACCUGGGAACGGCAUCCGGAACUGUCAGGCUAGAGUGCAGGAGAGGAAGGUAGAAUUCCCGGUGUAGCAGUGAAAUGCGUAGAGAUCGGGAGGAAUACCAGUGGCGAAGGCGGCCUUCUGGACUGACACUGACGCUGAGGUGCGAAAGCGUGGGUAGCAAACAGGAUUAGAUACCCUAGUAGUC